UACCAGACUCCUACGGGAGGCAGCAGUGGGGGAUAUUGCACAAUGGGGGGAACCCUGAUGCAGCGACGCCGCGUGGGUGAAGGAGUGCUUCGGCAUGUAAAGCCCUAUCGGCAGGGAAGAAGCAAGACGGUACCUGACUAAGAAGCCCCGGCUAACUACGUGCCAGCAGCCGCGGUAAUACGUAGGGGGCGAGCGUUAUCCGGUUUCACUGGGUGUAAAGGGAGCGUAGGCGGAAUGCCAAGUCAGCGGUAAAAUCGCGGGGCUCAACCUCGCUCCGCCGUUGAAACUGGCGUUCUUGAGUGGGCGAGAAGUAUGCGGAAUGCGUGGUGUAGCGGUGAAAUGCAUAGAUAUCACGCAGAACUCCGAUUGCGAAGGCAGCGCACCGGCGCCCUACUGACGCUCAGGCACGAAAGCGUGGGUAUCGAACAGGAUUAGAUACCCCCGUA
rnacentral:rRNA from 1 species